rnacentral:rRNA from 1 species
CCAGACUCCUACGGGAGGCAGCAGUGAGGAAUAUUGGUCAAUGGCCGGAAGGCUGAACCAGCCAAGCCGCGUGAAGGACGAAGGUGCCAAGCAUUGUAAACUUCUUUUGUCAAGGGACAAAAUCAGGCUCGAGAGCCUGACCGGGGGUACUUGAAGAAAAAGCAUCGGCUAACUCCGUGCCAGCAGCCGCGGUAAUACGGAGGAUGCGAGCGUUAUCCGGAUUUAUUGGGUUUAAAGGGUGCGUAGGCGGGCUGUUAAGUCGGGGGGAAAAGCCGGGGGCGAAACCCCGGCGAGCCGUUGAAACUGGCGUUCUUGAGUGGGCGAGAAGUAUGCGGAAUGCGUGGUGUAGCGGUGAAAUGCAUAGAUAUCGCGCAGAACUCCGAUUGCGAAGGCAGCAUGCCGGCUCCACACUGACGCUGAGGCACGAAAGCGUGGGUAUCGAACAGGAUUAGAUACCCCCGUAU